AGUGCCAGAGCAGAGGAAAAGGAAGAAUCAGAGAAGAAAAGCCAAAGAUGUGUAGGAAAAUCCUUGUAGGAUUUUCUGUGAGACCAGCGCCUCCACUCCAAGUGCCUGCCUGCCUUCAGGCCUGCUGCUUGCUCGCGCAGUCAGCAGCUGGCCGAGCGUCAGUACACGCCAGGUGCUCUUAGGUGCUCACGGGGUGGAGGAAGAAAAAUCCUAUCCUCCGGGAAUUUACGAUCAGAAGAGAUGACAAGUACAAACCGAAUGAAAAUUAAAAUGUGGAGAAGAAGGCACCAGAUGUGCAGGAGAGCCCUUUUGGAUGGGCUAGUCCAGUAGAGGUCCCAGAGGACUGAAGCCUGACCUGACAUCACCGUGAGCCCAAGACCCUCCCAGCUUGCUGUGUAACUUUCAUAUUCAACAAGGAAUGCCCUCCCCCACAACUGGAAAAUAUGCCACCGAGGUGAUUGCACGUCCCACAGAGUGAGAGCUUGCUGCUUUCACCCUGGCUGCGAACGGCCCAGGAGCAUGUGCAGAGAACCCACACGAGCCGACCCUGAACAACGCAUUCUCCUUUCUCACCUUCCAUCAGGAUGUACACCCCUUUCUUCUUUG